rnacentral:rRNA from 1 species
UCCAGACUCCUACGGGAGGCAGCAGUGGGGGAUAUUGCACAAUGGGGGGAACCCUGAUGCAGCGACGCCGCGUGGGUGAAGGAGCGUUUCGGCGCGUAAAGCCCUCUCGGCAGGGAAGAAGGAGGACGGUACCUGACUAAGGAGCCCCGGCUAACUACGUGCCAGCAGCCGCGGUAAUACGUAGGGGGCAAGCGUUAUCCGGGUUUACUGGGGGGAAAGGGGGCGCAGACGGCGAUGCAAGCCAGGAGUGAAAGCCCGGGGCCCAACCCCGGGACUGCUCUUGGAACUGCGUGGCUGGAGUGCAGGAGGGGGAGGCGGAAUUCCUAGGGUAGCGGUGAAAUGCGUAGAUAUUAGGAGGAACACCAGUGGCGAAGGCGGCUUACUGGACUGUAACUGACGUUGGGGCUCGAAAGCGUGGGGAGCAAACAGGAUUA